GAGGAAUCUGGAGAGAGCCAGGACUGAGGACUAUCUGAAGAGGAAGAUCAGGAGUCGUCCUGAGCGCUCAGAGCUGGUCAGGAUGCACAUACUGGAGGAGACGUCAGCGGAGCCGUCUCUGCAGGCCAAGCAGCUGCAGCUGAAGAGGGCC